CAGCCGCCGCGGUAAUACCAGCGCCUCGAGUAGUACCCACGAAUAUUGGGCCUAGAGCGUCCGUAGCCGGUCAAGUUAGUCUUCUGUGAAAUGUUGGGGCUCAACCCUAACGCGUGCAGGAGAUACUGCUAGACUAGGGAACGGGGGAGGACAGGAGUACACCUGGGGUAGGGGUAAAAACCUGUGAAUUACAUUCACAAUUUGUAAUCCGCAGGAUUACAAUCCGUUGAGCCUGGGUGGACUAUCAGUGGCGUAGGCGCCUGUCUAAAACGUAUCCGACGGUGAGGGACGAAAGCUGGGGGAGCGAACGGGAUUAGAUACCCCGGUAGUCCCAGCUGUAAAUAAUGCAGACUUUGGUGUUUCGCAUGAGUAAUCAUGCGAAGUGCUGUAGCGUAGAACCUUUUUUGGUAUGCCUAAAAAGCUUCACCAAAAAGUGUGCGCAAGUGUUAAGUCUGCCGCCUGGGGAGUACGAUCGCAAGAUUUAAACUUAAAGGAAUUGGCGGGGGAGCACCACAAGCCGUGGAUGCUACGGUUUAAUUGGAUACAACGCCGGGAAUAUCACCAAGGACGACGGCAGUAUGAAGGUCAGACUAAAGAUCUUGCCAGACGCGCCGAGAGGUAUUGCAUGGCCAUCGUCAGCUCGUGGCGUGAACGCGUAACUUUAUUGGAACGCGACGUAAACUGUCCGGUUAAGUCCGGCAACGAGCGAGACCCAUGCCUUUAGUUGCUAAUUUCUUCUCCGGAAGAGAUGCACUCUAGAUGGACUGCCCGUGUUAAAUGGGAGGAAGGAGUGGGCGACGGUAGGUCAGUAUGGUCCGAAAUCCUUGGGCUACAC
rnacentral:rRNA from 1 species